rnacentral:lncRNA from 1 species
ACCUACCACGACCGGUCAUUUGACCGGUAGUACGAUUUAUACAUUUAUGUAAGAGUUUCUCUCUAAGACUCAAUGCCAAAACUAUAAAGUCGUUACAAACGAAAGUUCUCACUCGACUAUCGGGCUAGCGGUGUUUAUUUGCUUGAUUGAUAUCCGAUACGGUCAAGAUCCUCGAAUGUUCUACGCCAUCUCAUCUACUAUGACGUAAAAUAAAUAAACUUGUAACUGAAGGAAGUGUAUAGACGUCUUCUCACGAAUUCAAAUCAGUAUAGUCUUGCGACACGAACAGAGUGCAUCGAACGUGAAAGUCACAAAGAGCAUACUUGGCAGUCUUUUAUUAUUAUUUUGUAAUAUUUUAUAUCGUAUUACGUGUUAUAAGUGCCAUUUUCAAAAUAGUGAACAAGACUAACAAUACUUCGCAAAUAUUUGUCCCCAAAAUGGCAAGACGUUUGAGGAGUGCGAAUGUAUUAUUAGAGAGAAUAAAUGAUAUCGAUGCAGAAUGUUCUGAAGAUGAUCAGGAAAUUCUGGAUAUGGAAAAUAACAAUACGGAAAAUUAUGAUCCACUUGAAACAGAUUCGAACACCGAUGAGAACGAAGAGAAUAUUUCGAACGUACGUAGACGACGAAAGAGAAGGAGAUUCUUAGUUAGUUCCGAUAGUGAGAAUGAGGAAGAAGUAAGCGAAAUUGCGAUGGACGGAACUGUUUGGCACGAAGUAAAAA